GACGACAACAAAAGCGCUAACUCCCUUCGGGGCCAUUUUAUAAAUCCAACAACAAUCCAAGCCGUUCUGACAAACAACGUGUGUCUCUGCAUGCGUUUAUGUAUCUGUCUGGAUGUCCAGAGUGUGUUUGCGUGAUCUGCUCUGCUGUAGGCAAGAAGUGAACGAUUUCAGCAGAUGAAAGCCAUUAGAGGCUUAAGGAGUCCAUAAAACACAAUCUUAUUUUAA